AUUGAACGCUGGCGGCAUGCCUUACACAUGCAAGUCGAACGGUAACAGGUCUUCGGAUGCUGACGAGUGGCGAACGGGUGAGUAAUACAUCGGAACGUGCCUAGUAGUGGGGGAUAACUACUCGAAGGAGUGGCUAAUACCGCAUGAGAUCUACGGAUGAACGCAGGGGAUCGCAAGACCUUGUGCUACUAGAGCGGCCGAUGGCAGAUUAGGUAGUUGGUGGGAUAAAAGCUUACCAAGCCGACGAUCUGUAGAUGGUCUGAGAGGACGAUCAGCCACACUGGGACUGAGAAACGGCCCAGACCCCUACGGGAGGCAGCAGUGGGGAAUUUUGGACAAUGGGCGCAAGCCUGAUCCAGCAAUGCCGCGUGCAGGAUGAAGGCCUUCGGGUUGUAAACUGCUUUUGUACGGAACGAAAAGCCCUGGGUUAAUACCCUGGGGUCAUGACGGUACCGUAAGAAUAAGCACCGGCUAACUACGUGCCAGCCGCCGCCGUAACAC
rnacentral:rRNA from 1 species